AAGACUAUAGACCUGCGGAGUACCUGCGGAGGGAUCAUUACUGAGUUUACAACUCCCAAACCCAAUGUGAACGUUACCAAACUGUUGCCUCGGCGGGAUCUCUGCCCCGGGUGCGUCGCAGCCCCGGACCAAGGCGCCCGCCGGAGGACCAACCAAAACUCUUUUGUAUACCCCCUCGCGGGUUUUUAUAUCUGAGCCAUCUCGGCGCCUCUCGUAGGCGUUUCGAAAAUGAAUCAAAAC
rnacentral:misc_RNA from 1 species